rnacentral:rRNA from 1 species
UACGUAGGGGGCAAGCGUUGUCCGGAUUUAUUGGGCGUAAAGAGCGUGUAGGCGGCCUUACAGGUCAGCUGUGAAAGCUCGAGGCUCAACCUCGAGACGUCGGUUGAAACCGUAAGGCUAGAGUCCGGAAGAGGAGAGUGGAAUUCCCGGUGUAGCGGUGAAAUGCGCAGAUAUCGGGAAGAACACCCGUGGCGAAGGCGGUUCUCUGGGACGGUACUGACGCUGAGACGCGAAAGCGUGGGGAGCGAACAGG